rnacentral:tRNA from 1 species
GUUUUGAUAGUUUAAUAAAAACUCUGGUCUUGUAAACCAAAAAUGGAAUAAAUUCCUUAAAACU